rnacentral:misc_RNA from 1 species
GAUGAAGAACGCAGCGAAAUGCGAUAAGUAGUGUGAAUUGCAGAAUUCAGUGAAUCAUCGAAUCUUUGAACGCACAUUGCGCCCCUUGGUAUUCCAUGGGGCAUGCCUGUUCGAGCGUCAUUUCAACCCUCAGGGUCCCCGUUCCGGCGGGGAACCUGGUGUUGGGGAUCGGCCCGCCCCGUGCGGCGCCGUCCCCCAAAUUCAGUGGCGGUCUCGCUGCAGCCUCCCCUGCGUAGUAGUUACAACCUCGCAUCGGAGCUCAGCGCGGCCACGCCGUAAAACCCCCGACUUUCUGAACGUUGACCUCGGAUCAGGUAGGAAUACCCGCUGAACUUAAGCAUAUCAAUAAGCGGAGGA